GACGAACGCUGGCGGCGCGCUUAACACAUGCAAGUCGAGCGAGAACCAGCCCUUCGGGGCUGGGGAGAGCGGCGAACGGGUGAGUAACACGUGGGUAAUCAACCCUCGGUACUGGGAUAGCCCGGGGAAACCCGGAUUAAUACCGGAUGGCCCUUCGAAUCCUCGGAUUUGAAGGAAAAGGUAGCUUCGGCCUCCGACCGAGGACGAGCCCGCGGCGGAUUAGCUUGUUGGUGGGGUAACGGCCUACCAAGGCGACGAUCCGUAGCUGGUCUGAGAGGACGAUCAGCCACACUGGGACUGAGACACGGCCCAGACUUCUACGGAAGGCAGCAGUGGGGAAUCUUGCGCUAAUGCGGGAAACCGUGACGCAGCGACGCCGCGUGGGGGAAGAAGGCCUUCGGGUUGUAAACCUCUUUCAGGAGGGACGAAGCUACUCGGGUUAAUAGCCCAGAGGGUGACGGUACCUCCAGAAGAAGCCCCGGCUAACUACGUGCCAGCCGCCGCCGUAA
rnacentral:rRNA from 1 species